rnacentral:rRNA from 1 species
AAGGAUCAUUAUUGGGAAACGAGCGUCGCGCUCACCCCCACCCUGUGCUUCGACCCGAAACGCGCUCGGCGCCGUGGCCCCCCUUGGGGGGUCCUGCCGGACUCCAACACUGAACAACGAUGUAGCCUGAAGUAAAAAGCAAACAGUUAAAACUUUCAACAACGGAUCUCUUGGUUCUGGCAACGAUGAAGAACGCAGCGAAAUGCGAUAAGUAAUGUGAAUUGCAGAAUUCAGUGAAUCAUCGAAUCUUUGAACGCACAUUGCGCCCCCUGGUAUUCCGGGGGGCACACCUGUCCGAGCGCCAUUUCAACCCUCAAGCUUCGCUUGGUGAUGGGGACCGCCCGAGGGCGGCCCCGAAACACGUGGGCGCCGACGGCCGGCCCUGAGCGUAGCAAAACCCUCGCUCGGGACCCCGGCCGGUGGUCGCCCCGACCCAAACUCACAAGGUUGGCCUCGGAUCAGGUGGGGAUACCCGCUGAACUUAAGCAUAUCAAUAAGCGGAGGA